rnacentral:rRNA from 1 species
UCCUACGGGAGGCAGCAGUGGGGAAUAUUGCACAAUGGGCGAAAGCCUGAUGCAGCAAUGCCGCGUGUGUGAAGAAGCACUUCGGGGCGUAAAGCUCUGUCCUCAAGGAAGAAAAUGACGGUACUUGGGGAAGAAGCCCCGGCUAACUACGUGCCAGCAGCCGCGGUAAUACGUAGGGGGCUAGCGUUAUCCGGAAUUACUGGGCGUAAAGGGAGCGUAGGCGGCUUGUCAAGUCAGAGGCGAAA